UUCUAUCAAAAAUGUAACUAGAAGUAUAGGCCUACUUGUGAACUCAGUUCACAAAGUGCUAUCUGUGGUAAUCCUUGUGACAUCAUAAUUAUGUUGAUUGUCUCUGCAACUGGAUUACAAUUUCGUUUUCUGAUAUUUUACAUGUCUUCAAUCCUGUAUGUGAUAGCCGCACGAAGUUCAACAGGAGCACGGCCAUUUCAUUGUUACUAGAAUCUAGAUCUAGAUUGUAAUUAGUAAAUUAGAUCUUUUUUCUAUCAUUCUUAUCAAUGUAUGCAUAUAGAGUCUAAUUGACUCUAAUUGAGUGACAAAAUAUUAGGACUUCUACUAAAGUGGAAAUCAUCAAGGCCAUCAAAAGUGCAAAAAGUGAAAAGGCAGCAGGCCCAGAUGGAAUAUAUUAAAGCAGACCCCAAACAUCAGAUGAAAUGCUACAUUUGCUUAUGUGCAAGAUUUGGGAACAAAAACAGGUUCCUACAAUAUCUGGAAACUAGAUUACCUAAUCAAUGUACCCAAUGAAGGGUAAGAAAAAAGACUAAAACCUGAACAGAUAUAUUUCUGAAGGAAAGAUCAUGUACUGACCACAUUACUAGAUUACACAUGAUCCUAAAACCUUUGUAGAUUUUGAGAACUCAUUUGACAUCAUUGACAUACACAUAAUUUGGAAGCUGAUGAAUCAAAGUUUACCAGCAUUACUAAACUGUUUACGAUAGCUCAUCAUGCCAACUACAACUAUUAGCCUACCAAUCCUUUUCUAGUUAAAACAGCCAUAAGACAAGGAUGUAUGUUUUCAUCCUUGAUAUUUUUAUUGCUGAUUGAUUGGGUCAUGAAUAAGACAGUCUCUGACAACAAAAAUGGCAUACCAUUAACCCCAACACAACAUAAAGUAACAUCUGUAAUAUAUAAGAUAAGAAGAUGUAGAAGACUUGGAUGUUGCUGAUGACAUCUGCCUCUUUUUUCAUAUGCAACAAAACAACCAAGCCAAACUGACAAGAUUUUCUGAAUCAAUAAAAAGAAAACUGAGGUUAUGUGAAUCAAGUUAGCUCAAUCAUACUACUGGGGGAUACAUCCUCAAUACCAUUAACUCUGGGAAGUAUGAUUAGCCAAAACAGUGGAACUGAUGAUGAUAUAAGAAAUGGCAUUACUAAAGCUAGAUUUGCCUUUAACACUCUUCAAACUAUCUGGCACUCUAAAGUACUGUCUUUACAAAUUAAGAUCUUGAUCAUUAACAUGAGCGUUAAUUCGGUUCUUCUAUAAAGUUCCAAGACAUGGAGAGUUACAAAAACAUAUGAAAAAAUUCUAGGGCGUCAACUGUUGCCUACUCUGAACAUUUGAAAAGAUAUCUAUACUAUCAACUACAAUGGACAGAAUGAAAAAAACAAACAUACCCUACUCUCUGGGAAAACCAACUACCAAUAUUGCAAAGCAGGCACUUGACUUGAUAUUCGCAUGGAAUCUGGGCAGGCUUAAACAAACCUGAAAGAAUUCAGAUCAGCAAAGCUGCAAAUACUGGAACUACAUAUGCCAAGGAAGAAGAAUUAGCAGAUACCACAAGAGAAGGAAGGCACACAGGAAUCAGUCAAAUUAAGCAAGAACAUUAGCUAUUCUUAUUCAGACAAGGUUGAGAAACUAGAAACCAAAUCAAGUCACUAGUCAAUAUCUGGAUUUUUUUAAAUUUUAAUUUAAUUUUUUUUCUUUGCUUUUGUACAUUUUCCUAUUUUAUUUAUUAUGUUGUUUUCUGUAUACAUAAGCAUUGUUGAUUGUAUCUAGAUCAAUAGAUC